AUGUAUAAGUGGCUGGAAAAACCCCUCAGUGGAUGCAACUUUAAGUGCAUCUGGAAAGCUAAGAUUUCACUUAAAAUCCAGAUUUUCCUCUGGCAACUUUCACAAGAUGCUAUCUUGACAAGGCAAGUGAUGCGGCGGCGCAAGUGGCUGGGGAACCCUGUGUGUUUCUUCUGCCAGCAGAUCGAAACCUCCCAGCAUCUGUUCUUUGAUUGCCCCGUUGCCAGUAUUGUGUGGCGAUCUAUUGGAGUGACCCUCGGGACUGACCUUUGUCCUAGAAACCAAUGGCAGUUCUUUGUGUGGUGCUACUCUUUUUUGCCUGGUUACGAAUCCUUCUAUACUGUGGCCUUGGGUGCGGUCACUUGGUCUAUCUGGUUGGCGCGCAACAGUGCUACUUUUGAGAGAAGAAUGAUCAAAACCCCUUUCGAGAUUGUUUUUAUGAUGGUUUCUUUUCUACUAUAUUGGGCAGGUCUUCAAGGCGUGGGCGACACCAAGCUACUUCGUGCAGGGGCGGAGAUGAUUCGCAACGGGACCCUGAUGCUGAUGAGGACCAGUGAUGCGACUGUCAAGAUUGGAGAUUCAGGAUGA
rnacentral:rRNA from 1 species